GGAACUGUAGCUCAGCUGGUUAGAGCAGUCNNNNGUCGGCUCAUAACCGAUCGGUCCCGGGUUCAAGUCCCCGCAGUUCCA
rnacentral:tRNA from 1 species